UCCUCCCUAGACUCUUCCACUUGAGCCUUUCAAUUAGAUUUUACCCAGGACAAGCGAGUGCUACCUGGCUUCUACUAUCAAAACCCUUUUUUGGCUAGGUAUGUUUCCAAAGGCUCAUUUCACAUUGCUAUUUUUCUUGUUUUCUACUUUUAAAAACAUAAUCGCAAAAAUUGACACAAAAAUAUAUUUGGCGCUAUUGUUUUAUUUUAUAUUUUUCAAAAAAAAUAUUAAUUC
rnacentral:lncRNA from 1 species